rnacentral:misc_RNA from 1 species
CGUGGGACAAAGCGCCCUGAGCAACCUAAAAAUCAUCGCAACUAUAACACAGAUUCUGUUUGUAUCAAUAGGGAUGUGCCCGUAGCUGAUGCUUUUCCUAUAUCAGCCAUAUCAUCUGAAGCUGCAAAAGCACUCCAAGUAAAACGGUCAAAAGUAAAUAAAGGCAUGUCAACAAAGUCAGCAAAAUCCCCAAGGAAGACAAAGAAAGUGAAUGAAGAUUUGAAUCGGCAUCUUUCAAAAGAUGGAUCUAAAGCUGAAUGGGAUGCUCAUGAUCUUGGCUCGAUAGACCAGAUCCAGUUUGACGAGUCUACCAUGCCAAUACCUGUUUGCACAUGUACAGGAAUACCAAGGCAGUGUUACAAAUGGGGAAGUGGGGGUUGGCAGUCAUCUUGCUGCACUACAUAUCUGUCAGAGUAUCCACUACCACAAUUGCCAAACAAACGACAUGCUCGUUUAGGUGGUAGGAAAAUGAGUGGAAGCGUUUUUAGCAGAUUGCUUACAAGGUUUGCAGUAGCUGACCGUGAUCUGUCUAUGCCCAUCGAUCUUAAGACUUAUUGGGCUAAACAUGGUACAAAUCGCUACAUUACCAUUAAGUGAUGCAACAAUGUUGAUUUGCUAGCCAGUUGCUAUAUUAGGCCUGGAUGCCAGAGAUGCUUGAUAGGUAGUCGAGGAAGCAAAACACAAAGAGCUAGACUUAAUGAGUGAUCGAAAGCCCUUUCGGAUGGUCACACGACGACCUAGUACAGGUCUCUUAACUGACUUUUGGUUCAGUUACUUACAGCACUUUUUUGGUACUUAUUGUUAGUUCUCUAUUUUUUAGCACUUAAUCUUGUACAAAGGAGUUUCUAGGAAUUGCAGGUAUACUAUUUUGUGCUUCUCUUUAUUCAAG